UAAACAAAACUUUUCAAAUUAUAAAAAUUUUCUCAUUCUUUUUUUCUUUUAAUUUUCUCAUUCUUAUACUUACUGAAAUAAUUAUAAAAUGGUAUACUGAAGCAAAAAGAAAAGCAAGCUCAAAGGAAGAAAUGAAGUAAGCUCAGAUUAAUAAAAUAUAAACUGUUUUCCAAGGACUUACUUGGCGAUCCAGCGGUUAAAACUCUAUACUUCCAUUGUAGGGGGCAUGGGCUGGAUCCCUGCUGGAGGAACUACGAUCUUACAUGCUACACAGCAUGGCCAAAAGGCAAAACAGACAAACAAAUGAAAGCAAGCCAACAAACAAAAAAACUGUCUUCCAUUAAAACAAUUAUUGUGUAUAUAAGAAUACCAAAAUGAUCUCUCAAAUUUUUUAUAUACUUGAAUAGUGGUUUUUGGUUUGAAAUAGAAGUGUUUAUAACUCUUAGAGGCACANNNNNNNNNNNNNNUACAUAGGUACAUGUAAGGCAUAUAUAAUAAAUAAUACAUACAUAAUGUGUAAUUCUUAGAGGCAUAAAACAUUUUAUACAGGAAUGAGGUGGUGAUCUUUAUUACUUAAACUUUUGAAAAAGAAACCUAUAAAUGGAGAAUAUUUGAAUGAAAGAUGUUAAAAGAUAAAACUGUGAUAUGUUAACAUUUAGAAGAGUUCAUCUUAGCAAAUAUUUGGCAGUGCCAAACCAGGAGUGGUUAGAAGUGUUCUGGUGACAGUAGUCAGGGGAAAGACUUUGAGAGAACAGCCUGGAAGCAAAGCAAAGAACUUAUUUGAUUGACUAAGCAAUCGCCUUUUUUAGGAAAGCCUUGUUGGCUUUGUAGUUGGUUGUUCUUAGGUUUUGAUUUCUUAUGCUUGAGAUAUUUACAGGAAUUUACUCUGUCUUAGGUUUGCUUAAGAAGGCUACCGAGACAUUGGAGCCAACUUAGUCUAAUAGAGGACUUGUCUGAUGAUAUAGAAUAUCUAAAUAUCAUCUGUUCUUUAACCAAAGAAACAUUUAUAAUGAGAAGUAUUUUGGAUGGAACAAAAAUAGAUUUUCUUCUGACAUCUGAAAUUGAAGUUCUUCAUCCUUGAAAACAAAUAAAACAGUGGGAAUGAAUAAGCCUUUUAUUAGCUGGUAGGUUGGGUGGGGGUAAAGUUUGUAAACNNNNNNNNNNNNNNNNNNNNNNNNNNNNNNNNNNNNNNNNNNNNNNNNNNNNNUCAAGGAUGGGUUCCCCUUGACUUGGGGGAAGCUAUAAUAGGAACACACUACUCUACACUGAGUUCUGAGAAGCUGCUUGAAGAUCAAUGUUAUUCAGUUGAGGAAAUACAUGAAGAAUUACUUAAAGAAAAUAGUGUGAAGGUUUUCUGAAAAUAUGGUGAUUAACACAGAAGGAAUGCAAACUGGUUCAUAUAACUUUUAGUAUUAAUUGUUAAAAAAUAUUGUCCAAAACCCAGAAAUAAGGCAUAGAGAGGUCAGCGUGUCUCUUCAAUGACACAUCAAAGUACUGUUUAACAGACUCACCAAAGCGUUAUUUCAUUAUCGAUUAUAGAAUCUAAGGGCCAGUAGACUUUUUCUGUAUAGAGCCAGAUAGUAAAUAUUCAGGUUUUAGGUUUGUUUUUUUUUCUGUUUUUGUUUUUUUAUAAUCCUUUAAAAAAAAAUGUAAAAGCCAUUCUUAACUCAUGGGUUACACUAAAUCAGACCAGCAGCUAAACUAGCCCGCUGACCACAGUCUGCUGACCAUCUUCUAAAGGAAGUCCCUUUGUUUGUUUCACUAUUCACUACUGACUAAAGGCUUAGAUUUUACGAAUUUACAUGUUAACGUGCAGAUUUUUGUCCAGUAAAGGUAAAGUUAAUUUGGUAACAUAUAACAGCAAAGUUAUUAUUUUAUCGUCAUAUGAUAUUAACUAGUUUUAUAUCUAACAGAACAAUCUUUUUUACAUUUGAAUUUUGAGAUUAUUUCAGGUUAACAUGCAGUUGUAACAAAUAAUACGGAGCUGCUGUGCAUCCCUUACGAAGUCUCUCCAGUGGUAACAUCUCUGCAGCGGCAAUACUGACCUGUAAUACAGCAUCAUGGCAAGGAUGUUGACAUGGAUAGAGUUAAGAUGCAGAACGUUUCCAUCAUGGUCAGUCUCCCUCAUGUGAUCUUUUUUUUUUAACUGAAGGAUAAUUGUUUUACAGAAUUUUGUUUUCUGUCAAACCUAACAUGAAUCAGCCAUACGUAUAUAUAUAUACAUAUAUCUCCUCCUUUUUGAACCUCCCUCCCAUUCCCCUCCCCAUCCCACCCUUCUAGGUUGAUACAGAGCCCCUGUUUGAGCUUCCUGAACCAUACAGCAAA
rnacentral:lncRNA from 1 species